rnacentral:rRNA from 1 species
CAGCCGCCGCGGGAAUACGGAGGGUGCAAGCGUUAUCCGGAUUCACUGGGUUUAAAGGGUGCGUAGGCGGGCAGGUAAGUCAGUGGUGAAAUCUUCGAGCUUAACUCGGAAACUGCCGUUGAUACUAUCUGUCUUGAAUAACGUUGAGGUGAGCGGAAUAUGUCAUGUAGCGGUGAAAUGCUUAGAUAUGACAUAGAACACCGAUUGCGAAGGCAGCUCACUAAACGCUCAUUGACGCUGAGGCACGAAAGCGUGGGGAUCAAACAGGAUUAGAGACCCCUGUAGUCCCUGUCUCUUAUAC